rnacentral:rRNA from 1 species
CCUACGGGCGGCAGCAGUGAGGAAUAUUGGUCAAUGGACGAGAGUCUGAACCAGUCAAGUAGCGUGAAGGAUGACUGCCCUAUGGGUUGUAAACUUCUUUUAUAUGGGAAUAAAACGUUCCACGUGUGGGAUUUUGUAUGUACCAUAUGAAUAAGGAUCGGCUAACUCCGUGCCAGCAGCCGCGGUAAUACGGAGGAUCCGAGCGUUAUCCGGAUUUAUUGGGUUUAAAGGGAGCGUAGGUGGAUUGUUAAGUCAGUUGUGAAAGUUUGCGGCUCAACCGUAAAAUUGCAGUUGAAACUGGCAGUCGUGAGUACAGUAGAGGUGGGCGGAAUUCGUGGUGUAGCGGUGAAAUGCUUAGAUAUCACGAAGAACUCCGAUUGCGAAGGCAGCUCACUGGACUGCAACUGACACUGAGGCUCGAAAGUGUGGGUAUCAAACAGGAUUAGAUACCCCUGUAGUC